CUGGGCGUAAAGCGCACGCAGGCGGUUUGUUAAGUCAGAUGUGAAAUCCCCGCGCUUAACGUGGGAACUGCAUUUGAAACUGGCAAGCUAGAGUCUUGUAGAGGGGGGUAGAAUUCCAGGUGUAGCGGUGAAAUGCGUAGAGAUCUGGAGGAAUACCGGUGGCGAAGGCGGCCCCCUGGACAAAGACUGACGCUCAGGUGCGAAAGCGUGGGGAGCAAACAGGAUUAGAUACCCUGGUAGUCCACGCUGUAAACGAUGUCGACUUGGAGGUUGUGCCCUUGAGGCGUGGCUUCCGGAGCUAACGCGUUAAGUC
rnacentral:rRNA from 1 species